rnacentral:rRNA from 1 species
CCUACGGGAGGCAGCAGUGAGGAAUAUUGGGCAAUGGACGAGAGUGUGAAGCAGCCAAGUAGCGUGAAGGAUGACUGCCCUAUGGGUGGUAAACUUCUUUUAUAUGGGAAUAAAAUGUUCCACGUGUGUGAUUUUGUAUGUACCAUAUGAGUAAGGAUCGGCUAACUUCGUGCCAGCAGCGUCGGUAAGACGGAGGGGGCGAGCGUAAUGCGGAUUUAUUGGGUUGAAAGGGACCGUAGGGGGAUUGUUAAGUCAGUUGUGAAAGUUUGCGGCUCAACCGUAAAAAUGCAGUUGAAACUGGCAGUCUUGAGUACAGUAGAGGUGGGCAGAAUUCGUGGUGUAGCGGUGAAAUGCUUAGAUAUCACGAAGAACUCCGAUUGCGAAGGCAGCUCACUGGACUGCAACUGACACUGAGGCUCGAAAGUGUGGGUAUCAAACAGGAUUAGAUACCCCUGUAGUC